GACGAACGCUGGCGGCGUGCUUAACACAUGCAAGUCGAGCGGUAAGGCCCUUUCGGGGGUACACGAGCGGCGAACGGGUGAGUAACACGUGGGUGACCUGCCCUCAGCUCUGGGAUAAGCCUGGGAAACUGGGUCUAAUACUGGAUAUGACUCCACGGUGCAUGUCGUGGGGUGGAAAGCCUUGUGCGGCUGAGGAUGGGCCCGCGGCCUAUCAGCUUGUUGGGGGGUGAUGGCCUACCAAGGCGACGACGGGUAGCCGGCCUGAGAGGGCGACCGGCCACACUGGGACUGAGACACGGCCCAGACUCCUACGGGAGGCAGCAGUGGGGAAUCUUGCGCAAUGGGCGAAAGCCUGACGCAGCGACGCCGCGUGAGGGAUGACGGCUGGUGUAAC
rnacentral:rRNA from 1 species